rnacentral:rRNA from 1 species
UACGGAGGGUGCGAGCGUUGUCCGGAAUCACUGGGCGUAAAGGGCGCGUAGGCGGCCUGAUAAGUAGGGGGUGAAAUCCUGCGGCUUAACCGCAGGGCUGCCUUCUAAACUGUCAGGCUUGAGCACAGUAGAGGCAGGUGGAAUUCCCGGUGUAGCGGUGGAAUGCGUAGAGAUCGGGAGGAAUACCAGUGGCGAAGGCGGCUGCCUGGCCUGUUCUUGACGCUGAGGCGCGAAAGCUGGGGGAGCAAACAGG